GAUUUGAUCCUGGCUCAGAAUGAACGUUGGCGGCGUGGAUUAGGCAUGCAAGUCGAGCGAUCGUAGCAAUACGGGAGCGGCAAACGGGGUAGGAAUACCUCGGAACAUACCCUUAGGUCGGGGAUAGCGGCGGGAAACUGCCGGUAAUACCCGAUGAUCUCGAGAGAGCAAAGGUUUACUGCCUAGUGAGUGGCCGAGGCGAUAUUAGCUAGUUGGUGAGGUAAUGGCUCACCAAGGCUUCGAUGUCUAGGGGGCGUGAGAGCGCGACCCCCACCACUGGGACUGAGAAACUGCCCAGACACCUACGGGUGGCUGCAGUCGAGAAUCUUCGUCAAUGGGGGAAACCCUGAACGAGCGACGCCGCGUGUGGGAUGAAGGCCUUUGGGUUGUAAACCACUGUCAGGGGGGAUGAAACCGCAAGGUUGACAGAGCCCCAGAGGAAGCACGGGCUAAGUUCGUGCCAGCAGCCGCGGUAAUACGAACUGUGCGAACGUUAUUCGGAAUCACUGGGCUUACAGGGUGCGUAGGUGGCCGGACAAGUCAGGUGUGAAAUCCCUCAGCUCAACUGAGGAACUGCGCUUGAAACUGUUUGGCUAGAGUGAGCUAGGGGUGCUUGGAACUGCCAGUGGAGCGGUGAAAUGUGUUGAUAUUGGCAGGAACACCGGAGCCGAAAGGGAAGCACUGGGGCUUAACUGACACUGAGGCACGAAAGCCAGGGGAGCAAACGGGAUUAGAUACCCCGGUAGUCCUGGCCGUAAACUAUGAGAACUGGGCGGGGGAGUGCUUGCACAUCCCGGCCGUAGCGAAAGCGUUAAGUCUCCGC
rnacentral:rRNA from 1 species